UUUGAUCUCAAAUCAGGUAGGACUACCCGCUGAACUUAA
rnacentral:rRNA from 2 species